rnacentral:lncRNA from 1 species
CCCACACCCGCUCGGCCUCUCUGUUUAGCCCUAAAUCACCGAUUUGGGGAUUUGCCCUAAUUUACCAAUGUAGAAUUACCCCCAAAUUUCCUUCCUUUCAUAGUUCCGAUUUUUUCUUUCAGAAAUUCCCAAUUUGUAGAAUUAACCCUAAAUUUCGUGUCUUUGAUAGUUAUGCUUUUUGUUUGGCGUUUGAUGUUAAAUGGGAUUUGUGGGGGAAUGAUGGUACAUGCACUGGGCUCUGAGCAGUUCAAAAUCGCUUUCAAUGGUUGCUCAGAAAUUACUGUUUUUGGUACUGCUAGUUUGGAUUGUUUAAGGUGUAUUAUAUCUAAAUGCAUGAAAUUUAAAUUGUGUUUUUGGGUAGAUUUUCUGUUAACUAUUGUUCUUGUUAUCAUGCAUUCUACUAAUCUCCAUUGCAAUGCAAAUGAAUGGUGGAGUUGUCAUUGUAGGUUGCUGAUUUGGGAUUUUGCAGUAAUGAUAUUUCUGUUCUAAUUUUUGGAUGCCUGAUGAUGGAAAACUCAUUUUCUGAGCGGUUACGCGGGUUUUUUUUACGAGCUUUUUGUAUCAUUUUUGCUGUACUAGUCUCUCUCUCUCUGUCUCUCUCUCUCUCUCUCUCUCUCUCUCUCUCUCUCUCUCUUUCUCUCUCUCUCUCUCUCUCUCUCUUUCUCUCUCUCUCUCUCUCUGUCUUUAUGGCUUGUACAGUUGAAGAUGUGAAAAGGCUCAUGGUGAUAAUCCCGCAGAUAACUGUCUAUGACCAGAUAUAGCUAUGAGAUCUGAAGGCUUGUUUACAGGCAUUUUCUUUUCCCUAACAGAUGUGUAUUGAAUUUUCAGUUGUUUUGUUUCGUUAAUACAACAACAACAACAAAACUUUUUUCCAUUAAAUGGGGUCGGCUAUAUGAAUCUUAUAACGUCAUUGCGCUCGGUUUUGUGUCAUGUCCUCCGUUAGAUCCAAGUACUCUAAGUUUUUUCUUAGGGUUUCUUCCAAAGUUUUCCUAGGUCUUCCUCUACCCCUUUGCCCUGAACCUCUAUCCCGUAGUCACAUCUUCGAACCGGAGCGUAAGUAGUCACAUCUUCGAACCGGAGCGUAAGUAGGCUUUCUUUGCACAUGUUCAAACCCAUUUUGUUUCGUUAAUGAUUUCUGUAUAUGUAUUCUUACUAUUGUAUUGAUCUGAAGUUUUCUGUUAAUAGAAAACCGAAGAGCACUUUUGGCGUUGCGGUAUUUUACCCCUAUAAAACGAUUAUUGGAGAUUGUUUUGGUUAGAAGAUGGUUAUAGAUUUUUGAUUUACUUUAUCUUCUGGUUCAAAUAUGAUGCCCAGUGAUGGGAGAAUUGAAAACCUAAACAGUGGUAAGCGUGGUUGAUUUUUCAUUAGCCCGUACUUACCACAAGCACCACCUCUCUCUCUCACUACAACAAACAACAACCAAGCCUUAUCCCACUAUACGUGGGAUUGGCUGGAUGAAUCAUUGAACGCCAUUACGCUGGGUUUUGUGCCAAGUCUUCCGUUAUCUCUGUCUCUCAUACAUAUAAAUAUAUACAUACAUUCACACAUACAUACGUUGGUGGUGCAUGGUGGAGUACGAAGGCUUUUGAGGAACGCCACUAGCCGUGAACUGUAUAUGACUCGUUCAAAGGUGUGAGAUCUGAGGGCACGAACCUUUGAAGUAGUGAUGCUUGUCAAGUUAUUUUUCAAGGUUAGAGCACGAGCCUUUGGUGUAGUAAUGUUGUGCUAAUGAUGAGUUAUACUCUGUAUCUAGCCUUUCUUUUUCUUGAAUUAUUUUGGAUCAUUACCAUGUUCUCUGAUAUAGUUUUUUUGCUGCUUCUGAAAGGUUUAUUUGCCUAAUGAUGGAAAACUCAUUUAUGGAGCGGUUCUGUGGAUUGUUAUUAGGAGCCUUUUCUAUCAUUUUCCUAUACUAGUCGCCGUCAUCAUCAACACCACCAUUCUUCUCUCUCUCUCUCUCUCUCUCUCUCUUCUCUCUCUCUUCUCUCUCCCUCUCUGGCUUGUAUGGUUGAAGAUGUGAAGAGGUUCAUAGUGAUAAUCCACAGUUAACUAGCAAUGACCAGAUAUAGCUAUGAGAUCUGAAGGCUCUUCAGUUUUUUGCCUUUUUUUAUUUAAGAUAUGCUUGUUGAAUUUUAAAUUAUUUUUGUUCCCUUAGUUAUUUAUAUAGGUCAUUGCAGCAUUGUAGACAUUAUUUUAGUUUAACUGGAGCACUUUUGGCAUUGCAGUAUUUGAUUACUAUAAAUGUACUGUUACUUUUGUAUUGAUUUCAAAUUUUCUGUUAAUAGAAAACCAAAGAGCACUUUCGGCAUUGCAGUAUUUUUGUAUAUAAUGCGAGCUCCCUUCAGACUCAAACCUGCUUGUACAUUGUUACAUAUAAAGCUAAUAAACUGUCGUUUGGAAAAAAAUUCACUCUUUCAUUGUUACUGAGUGCUUUUAUUUCCUACAAAGCUAUUAUUGUAGAUUGUUUUUGUUGAAAGAUGGUUAUACAUUUUGAUUAACUUUAUCUUCUGGUUCAAAUAUGAUGCCCAGUGAUGGAAAGUUGAAAACCUAAAUAGUGGUAAGGGUGGUUGAUUCUUCAUUAUCCCGUACUAACCACAAGCACCACCUCUCUCUCUCUCUCUCUCUCUCUCUCUCUCUCUCUAAUAUAUAUACAUACAUACAUACACACACAUACGUUGGUGCUGCAUUGUGGAGUAUGAAGGCUUUUGAGGAACGCCAUUGCCCAUGAACUGGAAAUGACUUAUUGCUAUGUGAUCUGAGGGCAUUUUCAUAGAACUCACUAUUUUCAAUUACCUAUUUGGGGAUAUAUCCCUCCUUGCAGUCCAAAUUUUGCGCCGCAAGUUACUUUGACCCCACAUGUGCGUUUGGGCCCCAAAUUUUGUUUCUUUCAUAAUUAUGAUUUUUAUAUGGGCUGAUUGUCUGUUCUGUUCUUGUUUCAAACUGUUGUUUCAUAAAAACCUGUAUUUUUCUUGACUGGGUGAUAGGCCUUUGAUAUUAAGUUGUUUUGAUGAUGGUUUAUUUUCAUUUGUGCUAGAAGUUUAUAAUGGCAUAGUUCUGAGUGGAGUGCUUGUUUAAUUGGCAGUUGGGGUUGGGUUAUAACUGUUAUGUGAUUGUGGGGAAUGAUGGUACCUGCAGUGGUCUCUGGGCAGUUUGGGAUUGCAAUUGUCGAUGGAAAUGCAGCCUAGAAUGCUAUUUAUGAUCCCUGGAGUAAUUCUACUUUGGGGUAUAUUUCAUGUUAUUGUUGUCAUCAUUCAAUUAACUUAUUGUGUCGCAAUGGAAAUUACUGGUCAAGUUAUUUAUGACCCCUGAAUUAGUGAUGUUGUGCUAAUGAGUUAUACUCUGUCUAUAGUCUUUCUUUUUCUUGAAUUAUUUUGGGUCAUUACCAUGUUCUUUGAUAUAGCUUUUUUGCUGCUUCUGAAAGGUGGUUCAGUUUUUAUUUGCCUAAUGAUGGAAAACUCAUUUAUGGAGCGGUUAUGUGGAUUGUUAUUAGGAGCCUUUUCUAUCAUUUUCCUGUACUAGUUGCUGUCACCAUCAACACCACCAUCCUCUCUCUCUCUC